UUUUUUCUUGCCAGAAACCACCCCACCCCCCCCCAAAAAAAACCAACCCAAAACAAAACCCCCAAACCAAACAACUUUUUAUGAAAGCAAAGCUCAGCUCAUCAGCAGCCCAUGCAGGAGGGGUUUUGGAGUUAACUGCAUGCAGGAAAUCUCUCACAUCCUGAGUCCCAGCUCUCUCCUCUCUGUAACUGUAUAUUAUGGUGCUGUUCUCCAGCCCCAGCUGAUGAAAGUUUUGUCUCUUGCAGUCGGGGCUAAGAUGUCAAAGCGUCUCCAUGCAGAACAGCAGCGCUGCCCUCCUCCUCCUCUUCCUCACCCCCCAGCCCAGAUAUUCAUGCUGCUCCUGAGCCUGAGCUGGCUCUUUUUAGCAUCACCCAGGGCUCAAGAUCCGCUGCUGCCUUGGCUCCUCUCUCUGCAGCCAGACUUCCACAUCACUUCUCCAGGAGAGAAUGUGGACAGUAAAUUGGAAUCCUCUAGGCAACAGACGCCAAAGAACCAGUCAGAAGAUUAUGAGAUAAUAGUUCCCUACCUUUUGAACGGAGAACAAUGGAAACCAAUAAAUGGCAUCUAUUCAAAGAGUCACCCAGCAAUGCUGACGUUUGUAAUACAAGCUGAAAGUAAGCAAUUGGUCAUCAGUCUGGAGAGAAACGAGGGCCUCUUAGCUGGCAGCUUCACAGAAACACACUAUUUAAAAGACGGCACUGAUGUUGUUCUUGCAUACAAUUACACGGGUCACUGCUACUACCAUGGAAAUGUGCAAAGAUACCCUGAUUCUUCAGUUAGUCUCAGUACCUGCUCUGGACUCAGAGGAAUUAUUGUAUUUGAAAAUAAAACCUACAUUUUGGAGCCAUUAGAAGGUGCUACAAAUGAACACAAGAUAUAUCGAGCAGAGAACCUGAAAAUUGGCCCAGGAUCUUGUGGCCACCAUUUCAACAUCUCUGGUAUCACUGUGGAUGACACUGCACAGUCUUCUCAAGCAUUCACUGGCAGGCACAAGAGGGAGACGCUGAAGAUGACAAAAUAUGUGGAGCUUGUUAUUGUGGCAGACAAUCGAGAGUUUCAGAGACAGGGCAAGAAUGUGGAGAAAGUUAAACAGAGGCUGAUAGAAAUUGCAAACCAUGUUGAUAAGUUCUACAGGCCAUUAAACAUUCGAGUAGCUCUGGUUGGCGUGGAAGUGUGGAAUGACAUGGAUAAGUGCUCUAUAACGCAAGACCCCUUCACAAGUCUCCAUGAGUUUCUGGACUGGAGAAAGCUAAAACUACUACCUCGUAAACCCCAUGACAAUGCACAGUUAGUAAGUGGGGUGUACUUCCAAGGGACAACCAUUGGCAUGGCACCCAUAAUGAGCAUGUGCACUGCAGAGCAGUCUGGAGGUGUUGUUAUGGAUCAUUCAGAGAACCCUCUCGGUGCAGCAGUAACCUUGGCUCAUGAACUGGGCCACAAUUUUGGAAUGAAUCAUGAUACUCUGGAGAGAGGCUGUAACUGUAAAGCAUCUACUGAUAAAGGUGGCUGCAUCAUGCACCCCUCUACUGGUUAUCCAUUUCCCACAGUGUUUAGCAGCUGCAGCAAAAAGGACCUGGAAAACAGCUUGGAAAAAGGAGUGGGGAUGUGUCUCUUUAACCUGCCUGAAGUUAAGGAAUCAUUUGGUGGACAAAAGUGCGGGAAUGGCUACGUGGAAGAUGGAGAGGAAUGUGACUGUGGGGAACCUGAUGAAUGUACAAAUCGUUGCUGUAAUGCUACUACCUGCACUUUGAAACCAGAUGCGGUGUGUGCACAUGGACUUUGCUGUGAAGACUGCAAGUUGAAACCAGCAGGGAUUUCUUGCAGAGACUCAAGUAAUUCCUGUGAUCUUCCAGAGUUCUGCACUGGAGCAAAUCCUCACUGUCCAGCUAACGUCUAUUUACAUGAUGGACACCCAUGCUACAGAGUAGAUGGGUAUUGUUACAAUGGUAUAUGUCAGACCCAUGAACAACAGUGUAUCACCCUCUGGGGGCAAGGUGCUAAACCAGCCCCAGGCAUCUGCUUUGAGAGAGUCAAUUCAGCAGGUGAUCCUUAUGGCAACUGUGGCAAGGACUCCAAAAGUUCCUUUGCUAAAUGUGAACCCAGAGAUGCCAAAUGUGGAAAAAUCCAGUGUCAAGGAGGAGCAAAUCGACCUGUAAUCGGUACCAAUGCUGUUUCCAUAGAAACAAAUAUCCCACUGCAGGAAGGAGGCAAGAUUCUGUGUCGUGGUACUCAUGUGUACUUGGGGGAUGAUAUGCCUGAUCCUGGUCUCGUGCUGGCAGGCACCAAGUGUGAAGAUGGAAAGAUCUGUUUAAAUCGCCGAUGCCAAAAUACUAGUGUAUUUGGAGUUCAUGAAUGUGCAACAAAAUGUCAUGGACGUGGAGUCUGUAACAAUAAAAAAAAUUGCCAUUGCGAGGCUGAGUGGGCCCCUCCCUAUUGUGACAAGCCUGGUUUUGGCGGCAGUGUGGACAGCGGACCAAUUAGACAAGCAGAUAGGAAAAGUUUAACCAUAGGAAUACUGGUAACUGUUCUAUGCCUCGUUGCUGGUUUAAUAAUGUACCUCAAAAGGAAGACUUUGAUUAAACUGCUGUUUACAAGUAAAAAAACAACAAUGGAGAAACUAAGGUCUGUGAAUCCAGCCAGGCCUUCCAAUUUACUUGAAACUAAUCACAUCCAUACCACAACUGUCAGCAAAAAAAUAGACAUUAAGCCACAACAUUUAAACAUACCUAAGAGAGAUGGUCCAAGAAGAUUCAUGUCCUAUCAGACCACUGACAUUAGUAAUCCUGUAAAGCCACAUGAUUUACCACAAUCAAAAAUACCACAGAGAGUGCUACCACCCCUUCACCAGUUGCCUUUUCAAACUGUACCUGCAAGGCCUCUGCCAGCUGAUCCUUCUCUUCGACUUACCCAGGUUUUAUUUGAAGGACAACGGAUAUUUACAAUAAAGCAUCAUCCUCAUUUGUGCUUUUUGAAUGGAAAGAUGUUACAUUUGUUUAUGGUGCAGCACACAGAAAACACCCUCCAAACAUGUGCUGAGCCGGGGCUUUUUUUUCCCCCAAGUGCUGGGAGCUGGGGCAGGCAGGGCAGCCAUUGCUGGGCUGGGAGAGGGAUGGGCCUGGCCUGGCUGAUUUGGAAAUUCAGCUGCUGCCAAAUCUCCAAAUCAGAUUCAACCGAAUCGACUCAGGACAGUGAUUCACAUCACUGAAUCGAAUCACAGUCCCCCGAAUUGGCCGAAUCCGAAUUGAAUACUAGCCACUUUGCACAGGCCUACUGAAUAUAUGACAUUAAUUAGUCUCUUUCUUAGUCACAUGUGAAUAGUUACAGUUACCUUUAUGCAACUGAGCUACAUAUUUAGAGGCAACCUGUUCUAAAAAUGUAUAAUGUUGCCAAUAUAAUGAUUUACGACCUAGGAGUUGUGUUUUUUUUUAAACUUUCAUUCCCACUUUGCAAUGCAUCUCUCAUCUUUUCAAAGACCCUCUGCUCCAUUGGCUUCGAUACAGACUAUGUUCAGUAAUCUGGAAAGAGAACAGGUUUCACUUAUUCUGCAUUUUAAAUGAUCUCAUUUUCAAGAACACAAUAGAGUGUCCUUACCAGUCUCUGAUAUCCCUUGAAUUAGGAUGACCAUGAUAAACACGGGCAAUCAACUUGCUUAACUUUAAGCCCCACCAUAACAAGUCAACCACAAGCAAGCCGGGCAGAAAAGCACCUAAUCUUAAUUACCUCUUGGUCUUAGAAUAAAUGCAUUUUCCUGCACAACAUAGCUGCUGUCUUGUCAUCUCCCUUUGAUAGCCACAAAUGGAAAUGAAGGGCCCUACAGUAGGGUUUUAGAUUUUAAAGUGCAAUAAUUCUAAACUGUAGUAAAGUGUCACUGGUAUUACAUUGGGUUCCUGGCAAUAGUCAUAAUUUCCUCCUUUUGAAACAGCUAUGCUCUAUUUAAAAAAUCAGAGUUUGAGCAUCUAAUUCAGUCAUGUUUUGUCUCAAGUACAAUGGGGUGGCUUAAUUCUUCCCACUAUGGUAUGAUACUGUGUUUCUCUCUACAAACAUCUUGCAGUCAUUUCAGGAACUAGAUUUGAUAGACUCCAAAAGGGACCUACAGGCAGAGGCAUCUAUUCAACCCACCUAUUUAUGGUCAAAGUACACUGGAGCGAGAGGGGGCUCUUACCACUUCAGCUAAAGAGGAACAGGAGCUGCGGCAGACCACUGCUUAUCAAGGGAAAGGUCAAACAGCUGUGAUCCCUGAUCCUAUUACCCUUAUUCUGCCCAUGCCAGUGGUAUGAGAACAUUUCCUUUGAAACUUGGGGGUAAAAGAAAAUAGAAAAAGGAGAAGGGGUAGGAUUCUCCUUGGGGGUUUUUUUUUUUGUUUGUUUUUUUUUUGUUUCUGCUGUAGCCUCUCUCCUGAGCGACAUGUCUUCAGCAACAUACAGCGAUGGCAAAAAAGUUGUAUCUAUAUCACUUCUCAGGGGUCUAGUUUGACAAAGCAAAUUAUUGGACUAUUUAGCUUUUCUCCAGUUCUGUAGGCAGGCAUUUCUAUUCAUUGCUCUUAAAUUGAGUUUUUCCCUUCUUCCUUUUCAAAAUGUUGAGUCAUCCACUUUCCAUUUCAAGGGAACAGAAAUUAACAAUUCCUUCUAAAUCUGAUCUUAUAGGCAUUGUGCUACCAGGCUGGAUAAAGUAGCAAGUUGUGUGCCAGCUUCCUAGUACUGCCACUGCCAAAGACUGGCAGCUAUGUUUUCCCUCAUCUUUUUCUAACCUGCAAAGUUCAAAAUCAGUAAUGAAAAUGAGUACUCUGCGAAUCCCAAGUUGAAAUCUGUGAUACUGUAUGCCUUCAAGCACAACAUAAGCAAUAAGAUGUGAUUGAGAUCUGAUCCCACAGUUGUACCUUCUGCCAUGCCAUAGGUGCACCAGAUUGAUUUCAUUGUGCUUUUAACUGAAAGUCUGUCAGCAGCCUAUGGUUUCAUCAUUACAACAAAAUAUCUUAUCUAGAUCAGCUUGCUAUGGGAUAUUCUUACUACAGGAAAUAGUAGCUCAAUAAGUAGACAGAGCAAUGUUUACCUUCUCCAUGUUCUGCUACAGUCGCUCUUGUUAACAAUAUCGAUAUCAGUACCCCCUGUCCCAGGGUUGUUAUCUAAAACUGGUUUUACAGUUAAGGUGCCUAACUCAAAUAAUCCACAAUGUUCCUGCACCAAUAGACCAAAGAUGACCUCUCUUUUUUCUAAUGCAUUUUAGGUGAGAGACCCCUUCCAGAUACAUAUUCAGAACAUAUGAGAGUAGAAGAUAAAAUUUGAUAGUUUGUUUACAGCUGCCCAAGAUACAAGAAAUACGUUUUUCUUUUUCUGAAGCAUAGCUGUAAUAAGAGCUAGUGUCAAUGUUAAAACCUGACAGCUUCAAAUCUCUCUGCUAAGUUACUGAUAUAAAACUGGACAAUGAAAUCCAUCCAUCAGCACUUUUAGCUGAGAUUUGAUUGGGCAAGAACUGGGUCAGGUUGACUUCCUAAUUGCAUAGAGAGCUUGAACAGUCAAGCACGAAUUUUGUGGCACUGAAUGCCAUGCUACUCACUUGCCAGGAGUCCAAGGGCUGUAACUAUGUACAUUUCCAUGACAUAGUUUAUGUCGCUUUGUACUUCCCUAUCAUGCACUCAGAAUAUGAAUCACAACCAUAAAGUUGCAUCUUUUGUGUUCACUUUUUUUCCCCUCUCUCUCUCUCUCUCUCUCCCCUUCAAAGGGCAAUAUCAUGUUUUUUUUUGAUAGAAAGGAGUGACAAGAAGGGAGAAGUGCUGUUAAGGUCUCUCCUAUUCCUCUUUUUCCCCUCUACAUGAAGACAUACUUGUUCUACCAUAAAAGCACAGCUUUGCAUAAUCUAUUUCUAAACUGGACCAGAAAAAGGCACUCUUAUUCUAGAAUGUGUGCCCACAUGGGGAAGUAGUCCGAAAAGGUUGCUUCCAGUCAGUUUUCCCAUGCAGAGAAGGCCAAAGCUGCUGAUCUUUUGCUCACAUGCUAGACCCACACCUAGAUAGUGGGCAGUUUUAUUUCUACUCAUAAGCUGGAGGAUGAGAAGCUGUAACUAGUGGACAGCUAGAGAAGUGCAGUGAAACUAGCUGGCAACCACUAAAGAGGAUGGAUAAAAUGGGGGCACUAGUAUCUAUUUUCUCCCACCCUUUGUCCAUCUUGUCUGCUUAGGUCAGGGCAGAUUUGGUCUUGUGCAGCCAUAUGAUCCAGCCUCUGGGUCUAAGACUGAUCCCGCAGGCAGGCUGGACCCAGAGCUGCAGGAGCUGCACAGAACGCAGGGGGCUGGCGCAGGGUGUGCGCUGGAUGCAGCACCCUGCUGGAACGGCCCUGCAUACUGGCCACACCAUGUUUGAUCCAGCAGCAAUUAGUGGUGAGAAUCCAGGCUGCAUGCCAGGUGCAGCACGCACCAACUCUACUGCAGGGCUCAUGCUGCACAGCACUGAGUCAGUAGGGGACGUGUGCUGCAAGUGGCACCCCGCCAGAUCAGCCCUGCACACUGGCUCCAGGGUUGGUUUGGAUUCGUGCUCUAGUUUUAUAUUAAUUGAAACUGGCACCUUUUGGACAAUUUCCUUUAGCAAAAUCUAACAGACUCCAUCAGUAUCAUGAUUAUAUUCCUAUCACAUAGAAUAAUGCAAAGUAUUUGCAAGAAACUGCUGUUUAUGUCAUCAUUUGCCAUGCCUGAUUACUUCAUGAAUAUUUGCAAUAUCCCUAGUAUUUUCCUUUUAUGAAAUCUAUUCUUCCUGCACAAAACAAUGUUGAUAAGCAAAAUAUGUUUAUUUGCUUUUUUUAUCAUGGAGGAAGUUCUUUUGGGUGAUGGUCAAGACUGACUUAUACAAACUAUGAAAUUUGUCUAUUAUAUUGUUAUAAUAGGAAAGAACAUACUUAAUGUUACCAUUCCUCAUUUGCAUGGAGAACUAGAAUUAGUUUGUGUUAUGAUAGGACUACAUAGGAGGAAGAGGAAAUGCACAAAAUUAUAGUUUUAAAAUUAAAAUUAUUCUAAAUUUGAACUGACCAAAUCAAAAGCUUAAAGAAAAUAAAACUGGACUCGAGACAUCCAUAUAUUUACUAGUGAACAUCUCCAUUUCUUUUCACCACAUAAGCAAAAGUAAUAAAGGAAAAAACAUACUGAAAGAAAUAAUAAACAUUACACCCAUCUUUUCAAAAGCUGGUUAACUAUGCCUUCAUUUUGCUAUACCUGUUAGCAGUGAGCAAUAUGAUUAUAUAACUUUUAUAUUCUUUGAGAAGAUAAUUAGCGGGAUUUCAUAAGAGUAAGAAUAAAAGUAUAGCUUAAAAGCACUGGACUGGAACUCAGGAUCUGAGGUCACUAUCUGAUUGUACUAAGGAUGCUCUGUGUGAGUUUGAAUAAUUAAUCUAGACAAGUUGCAGUUCCCCCAUCUGAAAAUUGUGGGGGGAAGCGCAGGGGUGGCAGGAAAUGCCCUGCCUUACUAGAGUGAUGUAAACAAACUCAUGGUAUGUGACUCAAAUACUACAGCAGGGAGGUAUCUUGAUAUUUAUGCAUUGAGAAUUUAAAAUACGUGCUAUUUUUCUGCUAUAAAUGGUUCUAAUUUGAAUAUGCAUGUUUAGUAAAUUAGCUCAUACAGUUGAAACCUAUAUUGCAGAGUUAGGUCAGAUUAACUAAAAUCAUUGUUGGUAUAAAUUUCAGAUUAUCGAAUAAAUCUUGAGAUUUGGUGCUCACUAACUUUUUGCUCAUUUGUACAUUUGCCAAACUGCAAAUUAUAUCAAAUGUAGCAAUUUUGUGAAUCUCAAACUGUUCAGCAGAAUGUCUUCACACCUCCCGUACUUUUUUUUUUUUAACAAGGAAGUCUACAGUCUUUGCGCAUCUUGAGGACCACACAGAAAAAACAUUAAUUCACGCCUUACAAGAUUACUUCAGUUCUUUACUAAUGAAUCAUUUAAUUCCACAUUUCUUUCAGUAGAAAGAAACUGCAGCUGCGUCUAUAAAAAGUCCAUGAAUGCUCUUAAGUCAAAUUGGAAUCAGGAAGUUUGGUUCUAAGGUCAUCUGAAAUUUACAUUUUAAAGUCAGUUCCCUUGUUCCCACCCCCUUAGAAAUCCUACUCCAGUUUUAUGUAUUUACUACAUAAAAUUUCAGUGAUAGGCACAUUUCAGUGAUAGGCUACAUUGCCUAUCUGGGUAUGAAUUACCCAGAUAAGCAAUGUAGCAGAAAAUGCUGCCAUUAAUACUAUGGCAGACAUCUCUGGGAAUGCAAACUCAAUCUGGGGACCUUGGUGUGACACCAGAAUGUGGCUGUAUCAAGAGUGACAGACCAAGAGGCCCCUAAGCAAAAACAGGUGGAAGCUCAACUUUUAUUUUCCUCUACUGCACACAGGAAGCCAGAAAUGUGUGAUUUUGUGGGGGUUUUAAAUAAAUAAAUAAAGGUAAAGCAAAACUGAUUUAACACUGAGAAGAAAACGAAUGAUAUAAUAACAACAUAAGAAGCUAAUAAUUUACAGCUCAGCAGCAGACAAAGAUGUUUAGUCAUGUCUAAAUUGUUUUGGUUUUAGCUUAGUUAAUACCUUUGAUCACUAAUUAAAGGUAUGGACAAGACUCUUUCUGAAGAACAAAUACCAGUGGUGUUUUAGUGGAGGUACCAGGAGGGGCAAAGGGUCACAGUAUAUUAGAACAGGUGUAAGGCAACACGUGGCACGCAUGCCCAAGCAUGGUUCACAAAGGCAUAAGGGGCCCGAUCUUUGUUGUGUCAGUGCAGUCUCAGCCCCUUCCGCACUGUUCAUCUCAAGGCACGUGUGUAGCUGCCGCCAGCAACAAGCUGGGCCGGGGCUCCACACCCCCUACUGCAGCUGUUUGCAGUCUCCCCCACCGUCUACUGCAAGCAUCCUGGGCUCUGUGGUGGGCAUGCGCACCUCAGGGCAGAUGGCGGGGAAGGGGCCAAAGCUGUGCUGCCACAAGGCAGAAUGGAUUGGGCCCCUAGCAGCUUCCCCGCUAUCCACCUGUGGCAUGCCAACAUCUUACAAGUCAAGGUUGCAGUGGGGUUUUGGCACCCUGACCAAAAAAGUAGCCAACCCCUGUACUAAAGUUAAGGCCCAACAGAGAGGUCUUCCGGCAAAAGUUAAGGAGAGUAGAUUUUUUUUAAUUUCCAAUAUUUCUGAAGUACAAUGAAAGCAGCACAGAGUCCUAAAAAAUACAGCCCCCCCUUUUUUUGCAUCAUAAAAAGUAGAAACCCAUGGCUCACUUGAACAUCCAGAGACAUUCAACCCUCAACUAAAUCUGUUGUUGCUAUUCCUUCAUAUCUUCACCUGACUCUUCUUUUCUUUGUUUCAUAUUGCAAAAGUGUAAUGAAGGGCAGAAUGUGGCCCACACUCCAAAACAUGGCAGCUGAAAUAACUGAGUCUACAGCAAGAAAAUUAAUGAGUCUUUAUCUGAAAAACUGGCUUUUACCCCAGGCUGUGCCCCAAGAUUCCAAGAAUAUGCAACAUAACUGUUUGGGCAAUGUAAUGUCGCUAAAGUAUUAAAAUUAUAUUAAGGUUCCUUGAUGCAGGUCCAUAUGACAUACCAAAGCCUUGAAAUGGACCCCUCCAUUAAUGGUGCAUACAGGCAUUUGGGAGGUUAGCAGGAAGUUAGAUUGCAUUUAAAAUGGCCACCCAAUCUAGCUUAAAAUUCUCCCAGGUGAAUACACUUAGAUCCCUAGUUAGGGCAAUCUAAGUGUGAAUCCUACCUCUGAAGUAAACUUAUAUUAGAUUGGGUUGGUCACUUUUAAACCAGUCUAACUCUCCUGAACUUCUGUACAGUUCCUAGCACAGAGCCAGGGCUGGGAAAGCCCAGCUGCUGUGCUUUUCCUACCCCCUCCCUGGCAUCAGGCUAUUUUUAGCCGAGCCCCUCAACCCACCCCCAGACAAACAACCACCCCCCCUCCUCCCAGCAUGCCAAACCCCCAUCCUACAAGCUGUUCCCAGGGCCAGGUUUGCAGGCAGGCAUUUGCCAGUGCCAGGAGCCAAGGAACUAAGUUGGCAUGGGAGCGGGGGGAGGGGCAGGUGGAAUGGAGAGGGCAGGUUGAGCAUAGGGGGUUGCUCGCCUGGUCCCAGGGGGUGGAGGAAUGAGCCCUCCCAUCUGCCCCUGUAUACUCUGCGAACCUGCCAGACCCCACCAAUUCCCUCAGAGACCCUGCAUGCUCUUCCCAGUCCUUCCACAGACCCCACCUGCCUACCCAAUCCCCCCACAGACCCCAUAUGCCUCCUUGAGUCCCCCAAGCCUCCCCAUCCCAAUUUACCUUAGAUCAGAUCACAGCAAAAGCUCUGCUAUCCAGCAUCCCCCGGAAAUGGGGGAUGCCGGUUAAUCAAAUAUGCCACGUCUAGUGCACUACACGUUCGCAUCAGUGUGCCGGGGGACAGGGUUCGGGCCCUGCAGAGGCUGCUUUGCCCCGGGCCACAAGGAAGAAUCACAGCAAGUGGGACUCAACUCAUGGUGGCAAAACCGGAAGUGGGACUUCCAGUUUGCUUUUUUCCACAUCCCUCAGAAGAUUGACAGAUGCCAGUUAGUGGAGCUUUCCAGUUGAUAAAAGUACCAGAUAACAUGGCUUUUCAUAGAAUCACAGAAGUAGGGUUGGAAGGGAACUUGUAGAUCUUCAAGUCCGACUCCUUGCCUGGGCAGGAGGAAAACUGGGCUCAAAUGACCCCAGCCAGGUAGGCAUCGAGCUGCUUCUUAAAGACCCCCAGGGUAGGAGCCAGCACCACUUCCCUUGAAAGUUGGUUCCAGAUCCUAGUCGCCCUAACUGUGAAGUAGUUCUUACAGAUGUCUAGUCUAAACCUACUCUCCAACAACUUGUGGCCAUUAUUCCUUGUUAUCCUGGGGGGCGCUAAGGGAAACAAGGUCUCCCCCAAACCCUUCUGGUCCCCCCUAGUGAGUUUAUAGACAGUCACCAGGUCCCCCCUCAGCCUUCUCUUGUGAAGGCUGAACAGAUUCAGGUCCCGUAGCCUCUCAUCAUAGGGUCUGCCCUGCUGUCCCUGGAUCAUGCGGGUGGGCCUCCUCUGGACCCUCUCAAUGUUGUCCACAUCCCUCUUGAAGUGGGAAUCCAUGAUAGGUUCCAGUUAGCCCUGCCGACCGUGACCUCGCAUUGUCGGCCCAUGUUCAUCUUGGAGUCAGUAAUGACUCCAAGAUCCCUUUCCGCCUCCGUGCUCUCAAGAAGGGAGUUUCCCAUCUUAUAAAUGUGCUGCUGGUUACUACUGCCCAAGUGCAGCACCCUGCACUUGUCAGUAUUGAAACGCAUCCUGUUUUUGUUAGCCCACCCCUGCAACCUAUCCAGGUCUUUCUGCAGUCUUUCCCUCCCUACUAGCGUGCCCACCUCACCCCAAAUUUUGGUAUCGUCAGCGAAUUUAAACAGGUUGCUUUUCACCGUGUCGUCCAAAUCGCUGAUAAAGAAUUUGAACAGUGCGGGCCCAAGGACCGAGCCCUGGGGACUCCGCUGCCCACUUCCCCCAGGUUGAAUAUGACCCAUCCACCACCACCCUCUGAGUACGACCCUUCAGCCAAUUUGCAAUCCAUCUAACUGUGUAGGCAUCAAUGCCACAGUCACCUAGUUUUUUAAUGAGGAUGGGGUGGGAGACAGUGUCAAAGGCCUUGCUGAAGGUCCAGAAAGACUACAUCCACGGCAACACCUGCAUCCAAUGCUUUUGUGACCUCAUUGUAAAAGGCAAUCAGGUUGGUCUGACAUGACCUGCCCCUAAUGAAACUGUGCUGAUUGCCCCUGAGCAUCAUCCCCAAUGCCGGCCCAUCACAGAUGUGCUCCUUGAUGAUCUUCUCAAAGAGUUUCCCCAGGAUUGAGGUAAGACUGACAGGCCUAUAGUUGCCCGGGUCCUUCCUCCUCCCUUUUUUAAAGAUGGGGACCACAUUGGCCAUCUUCCAAUCAUCUAGAACCUGGCCCGAGCACCACAAGUGCUCGUAAAGCCAUGCCAAGGGCCCAGCAAUAACCCCUGCUAGCUCCCUCAACACCCUGGGGUGGAGAGCAUCUGGACCUGCUGACUUGAACACGUCCAGCCCCUCCAGAAGCACUCUAACCCGAUCCUCCUCAACCUUAGGUCUCGAGGUGUUCUCCUCAAGUCCAUCUUGGAACACGGUGGGGGAGUCCCGGUCCCUGCACAAGAAAAUGGAGGAAAGUCACAAACCAAACCCUCCUCAGAAGCCUUUACCAGCAAAUCCUCUGAACAAAACCACUCGCUUUAACAGUGCCUCC